GGAUCUUGAAGUUAGCUUGUGAGAAGUGAACUUAGAAAGACAUAGGAGCCAGAGUCUCUGCAAUGGUUCAAUGCUCUUCAUCAGAAGUUUGCGAUGAAUGAGCUGAUGUCUUCAAGGUUCUGAAAAGGGGAAUAAACAAGGAAAGUUAACCAAAAGAUUAACUAUGGCUUCAAAAACUUCAAAUGACAGCAUGUUUAGCUAUGACAGUAAAUAUUGUCCCAUAAUGUGCAAAGACAAUAGCAUAUGUAAAAAAGAAUAUAGAAAAUUGACAAAAGGAAAUGCAUUAAUCUGUUUGUUAAAAAAAAAAAAGAGUAGCAGCAAGAAUUAUAAAGGACAAAAUACAACCAUGUGCUGUCUGCUAGUGAAUCAGUUUAUACUCAAAGAUGCAAAGAAGAUGGAAGUAAAAGGAUGAAUAAGGGCUCCUGGGUAUUUAGUCAUGACUUUUUUAUUUUGUGCCCUACAAGCAAGUUUUUAUGACAAGAUGAAUUAGUUUUCUGUUGCUGUAUAAAAACACCAUGACGAAGGAAGCUUAUGGAAGAAAGAAUUGAUAGGGACUGAUGGUUCCAGGGCAUU
rnacentral:lncRNA from 1 species